rnacentral:rRNA from 1 species
UGAGGAAUAUUGGUCAAUGGGCGGGGGCCUGAACCAGCCAAGCCGCGUGAGGGAGGAAGGCCCUAUGGGUCGUAAACCUCUUUUGUCAGGGAACAAAAGCGAGUAUGUAUACUAGUCUGAGUGUACCUGAAGAAAAAGCAUCGGCUAACUCCGUGCCAGCAGCCGCGGUAAUACGGAGGAUGCGAGCGUUAUCCGGAUUUAUUGGGUUUAAAGGGUGCGUAGGCGGCGGUGCAAGUCAGCGGUAAAAAUGCCCGGGGCCUCAACCCCGGCGAGCCGUUGAAACUGCAGUGCUAGAGAAGGCGAGAGGUACGCGGAAUGCGCAGUGUAGCGGUGAAAUGCUUAGAUAUUGCGCAGAACUCCGAUUGCGAAGGCAGCGUACUGGCGCCUGACUGACGCUGAGGCACGAAAGCGUGGGAUCGAACAGGAUUAGAUACUC